AUCUAGCUGACGAGUCCUGAAUAGGAGAAAAGGCGCGUCCUGGAU
rnacentral:hammerhead_ribozyme from 1 species